UACAGAGGGGGCGAGCGUUGUUCGGAAUUACUGGGCGUAAAGGGCGCGUAGGCGGCCUUCUAAGUCGAACGUGAUAUCCCCGGGCUCAACCCGGGAACUGCGUCCGAUACUGGGAGGCUUGAAUCCGGGAGAGGGAUGUGGAAUUCCAGGUGUAGCGGUGAAAUGCGUAGAUAUCUGGAGGAACACCGGUGGCGAAGGCGGCAUCCUGGACCGGUAUUGACGCUGAGGCGCGAAAGCCAGGGGAGCAAACAGG
rnacentral:rRNA from 1 species